GCUUGCUUCUCUUGAGAGCGGCGGACGGGUGAGUAAUGCCUAGGAAUCUGCCUGGUAGUGGGGGAUAACGUUCGGAAACGGACGCUAAUACCGCAUACGUCCUACGGGAGAAAGCAGGGGACCUUCGGGCCUUGCGCUAUCAGAUGAGCCUAGGUCGGAUUAGCUAGUUGGUGGGGUAAUGGCUCACCAAGGCUACGAUCCGUAACUGGUCUGAGAGGAUGAUCAGUCACACUGGAACUGAGACACGGUCCAGACUCCUACGGGAGGCAGCAGUGGGGAAUAUUGGACAAUGGGCGAAAGCCUGAUCCAGCCAUGCCGCGUGUGUGAAGAAGGUCUUCGGAUUGUAAAGCACUUUAAGUUGGGAGGAAGGGUUGUAGAUUAAUACUCUGCAAUUUUGACGUUACCGACAGAAUAAGCACCGGCUAACUCUGUGCCAGCAGCCGCGGUAAUACAGAGGGUGCAAGCGUUAAUCGGAAUUACUGGGCGUAAAGCGCGCGUAGGUGGUUUGUUAAGUUGGAUGUGAAAUCCCCGGGCUCAACCUGGGAACUGCAUUCAAAACUGACUGACUAGAGUAUGGUAGAGGGUGGUGGAAUUUCCUGUGUAGCGGUGAAAUGCGUAGGUAUAGGAAGGAACACCAGUGGCGAA
rnacentral:rRNA from 1 species